rnacentral:rRNA from 1 species
AGUACUCGAGUGGCGAACGGGUGAGUAACACGUGGGUAAUCUGCCCUGCACUCUGGGAUAAGCCUGGGAAACUGGGUCUAAUACUGGAUAUGACCUUUCUCCUUAUGGGGUUUGGUGGAAAGUUUUUCGGUGUAGGAUGAGCCCGCGGCCUAUCAGCUUGUUGGUGGGGUGAUGGCCUACCAAGGCUUUGACGGGUAGCCGGCCUGAGAGGGUGACCGGCCACAUUGGGACUGAGAUACGGCCCAG